GAUGAACGCUGGCGGUAUGCUUAACACAUGCAAGUCGAACGGACUCUUCGGAGUUAGUGGCGGACGGGUGAGUAACGCGUGAGAAUCUGGCUUUGGGUUCGGGACAACCACUGGAAACGGUGGCUAAUACCGGAUGUGCCGAGAGGUAAAAGAGAAAUUGCCUGAAGAUGAGCUCGCGUCUGAUUAGCUAGUUGGUGAGGUAAAGGCUCACCAAGGCAGCGAUCAGUAGCUGGUCUGAGAGGAUGACCAGCCACACUGGGACUGAGACACGGCCCAGACCCCUACGGGAGGCAGCAGUGGGGAAUUGUCCGCAAUGGGCGAAAGCCUGACGGAGCAAUACCGCGUGAGGGAAGAAGGCUCUUGGGUUGUAAACCUCUUUUCUUAGGGAAGAACAAAAUGACGGUACCUAAGGAAUCAGCAUCGGCUAACUCCGUG
rnacentral:rRNA from 1 species